UUCACCUUCCACCACUGCAUAACUCCCUCUUUCCUCUGCCCCUCGGCUCCCUCCGCUUUCGUCGCUGCCAGCAACCCUCUUCGUGCCGCACGUUAUACCCCCCACGGCCGAUAAGUUUGACAAAAAGAAGUGGGUCCACGUGGGCCUCAUCACCGAGUCCUUCUCCAACGGCAUGCUUCGUCUUCGCCUCGACAACGAAGAUCUCAUUCUCGGAUAUGUUUUUGGGAAAAUUUGAAAGAAUUUCAUCAGAAUAUUGUUCGGAAUCGCACCAAGGUUGAGUGAACGGAGCAGGUAAGAGAGACGAGAGGAAUCGGGACCUUGGCUAUUGACGGAUGGACGGACCUCCCAAAUUCGUGUGGAAGAAGAGAUGGUUGGAGCUUGACAAACUGAUUUCUAUCGGUAAAGAAAUUCACAAGAAUAUAAUUGUGUUGACUCUUACACAGAAAUUAGAGGUCACGAUUCAGUAGUCUUAGUAAAGUGGGGAGAAAGUCACCGAUGAUUCUGCAGCUUCAGUCGUCAAUUCCGAUGUGGUUUGGCGCGAUACCGCUUUACCGUUGGACAAGAACCUUGUAUACGGAUUGGGAUCAUUUUUCGUCAACAACCUCUGCAUUUUUACGUUGAGGCCGUCAUCAAGCUCUACCAUUCUUCGAGCCGUCGAGCUCGAGGAAGUCAUGAAUUUGAGGCUGCAGGUAUAGGAGCUCCAACGCAACCUUCACCAGUAGGCUCAGGAGCUGAACGAUUAUCAAAAAUGGUAUAUAUCAGGAGAUCCUCACCCAUGUGACAUCUACGGAUGAGUUCAGACUGGAGUGGAGGGAGUUGCUAGAGUGGCUUCAGCGUAUGAAGGCUAAGAUGAAGGUAUACCAGGCCCAGAUGUACGUCGCUGGCAUCAACUUUGGUGGUAGCGGUCCUGCUGGUGGCAUACGGACAUCACCGCCUUCUGCGUCACCGAUUCAGGGCCACAAGACCGAUGGCAACGACGAGGACGACGAGGACUACCUGGAUGUGUAGUUAUUAGUGUUUCGUUUCAUUGGUUCAUUGUAUUUAUUUGAUGUACUUAACUUUUAAUUUAUUUGAACAUUGUAUUAUUUAUUUUAAAUAAUAAAUUUUCAUUAUUUAUGGAUUGACAUUUAAUUUUGUGAAAAAUAAAUUUAAAUAAAAAUUAAAAUUGACCAUUUAUUUCAA